GAGAUGGAGUUUUGCUCUUGUUGCCCAGGCUGGAAUACAAUGGUGUGAUCUCAGCUCACAGCAAUCUCUACCUUCCGGGUUCAAGCGAUACUCCUGCACCAGCCUCCUGAGUAGCUGGGAUUACAAGCAUGUGCGACCACACCUGGCUAAGUUUUUGUAUUUUUAGUAGAGACGGGUUUUACCGUGUUAGCCAGGACGGUCUUGCCCUCCCAACCUCAGGUAAUCCACCCUCCUUGGCUUCCCAGAGUGCUGGGAUUACAGGCGUGAGCCACUGCACCCGGCCCGAGACUUGAUUCUUGAAGCUGCACACAGGAAUCUCACUUUGACAAACCCCCUAACACACACAAACCCCCACCACCGCUGCCACUGCUGGGACCCCUAAUUAAAAAUAAUAAAAAUAAAUAAGUCAGCCAGGCACAGUAGCUCACGCCUGUAAUCCAUGCCUAGGAUCCCAGGUGGACAGAUCACUUAAGGCCAGGAGUUUGAAACCAAACUGGGCAACAUAGCAAGACCCCAUCUCUACAAAAAAUUUAAAAAUUAGCCAGGUAUGGUGGCACACGCCUGUAGUCCCAGCUACUCAGGAGGCUGAGAUGGGAGGAUCACUUGAGCCCAGGAGUUUGGGGCUGCAGUGAGCCAUGACGGCACUACUGCGCUCCUGCCUGAGCAACAGAGUGAAACUCUAUUAAAAAUAUUAAAAAUUUUUUUUAAAAGUUGUUCCUCUCACAUAAAGACUGUAAGUCCGUCCCACAUUGCCUGGAUUUUUAACAGAGCAGUGAUUCUCAGUGUGGUCCUGGGUCCCACAGCCAGCAGCAUCCGCAUCACUGGGGAAUUCGUGAGAAAUGCACAUUCUCAGGCCUGUUGGCCUCCUGGAGAGGAGGCUCUGGGGUGGGGCCCAGCCAUCGGCAUUUAACAAACCCUCCAAGGGACCCGACACACACACCUUUGAGAACCAGGAUGGAAAACAUGCUUUUUCAACACACAUUCCCUAUCUCUGCACAGCAGGGGGACUGGAUAUUCUCCCACUCUGCAGAUGAAAACACUAAAGCCCAGAGAGGUUAAGGGAUUUGCCUAAAGUCAAUCACCUGCCCCUCCCACACUACACACUUCAGAAAUUUACCUGAGGGGGGGUUUCAGCAACCUUCCAGAGAAUGUGGUUGCAUUAUAAAUGCCACUUAAUGAGAAAAAUGAGCCCACCUCGGCUGGGCAUGGUGGCUCACGCUGUAAUCCCAGCACUUUGGGAGGCCGAGGCAGGCGGAUCACCUAAGGUCAAGAGUUUGAGACCAGCCUGGCCAACAUGGGGAAAACGCGUCUCUACUAAAAAUACAAAAAUUAGCUGGGAGUGGUGGCGGGAGCCUGUAGCCCCAACAACUCGGGAGGCUGAGACACGAGAAUAGCGUGAACCUGGGAGGCAGAGCUUGCAGUGAGCUGAAAUUGCACCACUGCACUCCUGCCUGGGCAACAGAAUGAGACUCCGUCUCAAAAAAAAAAAAAAAAAAAAAAGAAAAGAAAGAAAGAAAAGAAAAGAAAAAUAAGAAAAAUGAGCCCACAUCGGGAAAAAUGCAGCCUGCUCCAAAGGGGGAAGAAGGGGAAAGAGCAAGAUUUUCCAAGAGGAUGUGCUGUACCUCCGGGCAGAUCUCCAGAGGCUUUGAAAUGAUCAAAGAGAAAUCAAAAGGGAUGGGAAAAGGAGGAGAGGGAGAGGAGAUGCAGCCGGAAGCAGCUAGCCUAGGCUCCUAAGAAGCCUGUAACUAAUGCCCCCAAAGCUGUGCAACACUGCUUCCCCUAGAGUCCCCGACUGGGUACCCAGUGCUAGCCCCUGAUGGGCCCGGCCCUUCCUGAAAGCAUCCAGUGCCCUGUCCCCCUCCCCACUCCCCUGUGAAGGCUCAGGUCCCCCACCCCCCUCCACACUCACGCGAUGCUGGUACUGCACUUCUCACAAGUGUGGAGCUUGGGAGGGGUGGCCAGGGCCCUGGAGGCGGGCAGGGAGGACUGGGGGCUCAGUGAGCUGGGCAAGAAGGCUGGCGUGCCACCUGGGGGCAGGGCAGACAGACAUGUGGUGAGAGCCCACCAACCACAGCAUCCUCCCAAAGAUGCUCUGAGGAGGUGGUCUUGGAAAGCACCCUUAUAAGAGAAACCCUAAAGUCACGCUGACAGUGGCACCAGGUAAGGAGGAAGGUGAUCUUGCCAGAUCCAUGGCUGAGGCUGGGCAAGGGCAUGAAGGAGGCAGGUACAAGGCCGAGUUUGCCCAUCCAAGGCCACCUGGGGCCAUCUGUGCUCAGUGUCAGGUGAAGCAGGUGCUCCCUCUCUAAUGACCUGGUAAUAACAGUGUGAUUAGAUAAUAACUGGAGAUGGCAACAGGAGCGCAAUGCCUCGGUGUGGCUUUCAAAGUGCUUUUCCAUGCCUUGUCACAUCUGAGCUCUCAAGCCACACGAAGAUGAAGCCCAGGGCUACGGGGCAGCUGUCGCCCGUCUGCAGCUAAGGACGCUGAGGCCUCCUUGGCAAAGUCACUGCUCUCUCCCUGUGCUGCCUCCUGGGACCUUCUGAGGCCUCAGGGUCAAAACAGACCAGAUUUGCUCCAAACCUUCUCACCCCACCCCCUGUGCCUCUGCAAAUGCCCCUUGGAGCUAAACAUCAGCGUUAGAACCAGCCACCUGCCAAUCUCCAGGUGUGCCCUGUCCAUAUGGCCUCUUACAUUUGCUCCCAAAAUGGAAAUCUCACCUUCAACCUCACAGUUGUUCCUGGAGGCCAGUUUCCAGCCUGCAUCUCUGUACUCCCCACUCCCCUGCUCCCUUUCCAUUGCCACCCCAAUGGGACUCAACUGAGGUCCAGGAGCCCACACCAGCCACUGGGAAGGAGAGCCUUGGAGACAGCCAGGCGGGCCAGUGCCCAGGGCCAGGGGCACCAUUUCCUGGGAAACCAGCUUCUCUCCAUUUUAAAAUUCAAAGUCAUAGAUGAAUUAUGAAGCCUCUCUGGCCACUCUCCUACCUGUCCUGUCAUCUCCCUCCCCUUCUCCCCACUGUUCUAGAGGGCAUUGGUGCUGAGCACCUUAAGGACAGGGGCUGUGGGAGUAGUAACUCCCACAGCAGCGCUCACUUCCAUGGGAGCUGGCCAGGCCCAUCUGCCCCAAUGAACGGAGCUCCCCAAGGGCAGGAGUGGGGUCAUGGCCACCUAUCCCCAAACUCUGCACACAUCUGGUCCCUCAGAUGGGCACAGUCAGUGUCUGUCACAUGAAUAACGGAACUCUGGCAAGCCUCCGUAUGUCUUGCUCGCCUGGCAUCAGUAUUUAAUGGCUUUCCUGGGUUAGGGCACUCCUCAGCCUGAUUCCCUUCCCGAGGGCCCUCACUGCAGGGGCUUGGCCUCCACUGGCGCCCUUUCAUGCUAUCAGGCCCCCAUUCUCUCACUCCCACACCCCAAAGCCCUCUGGCCGCCAGCCUCCACCUUCCACAGUGCUUCCUGCCACCCUCUUAAUGCUGUUUAAGUCUUGAUGUUUUUUCUAAGGCCAAGAGGCCAAGUCAAAUCCCUCUUCCUCCAAGAAGCCCUCCCUGGAGGCCCAGCCCCAGGCCCUGCCACCGCUUUUAUCACUCGAAUGACACUUUCCCAUCCCAGCUGGCUACUGCCCACUACUCUGUGGGAGCACGCUGGUGACCCUCCCGGACCCUCCCGGACCGUCAGCUCCUUAUGGGCAGGGGCUGGGGCUUCGCGCUCUGCUCGGCUCCGUGCCUAGUCCUGGGGUGAGCACCUCACAGGCACUUAAGAACACUGGUUCACUGACCCAUCCAGUCAGGGCCCGGGGUACGGAAGGGAACCUCCUUCCCCUCCCCAGCCCCCCAGACCCUCACCUCUCUCCUCAGCCUCCAGGGCUUCCUGCAAGAGCCGAAAGGAGCUGGACUGUCGGGGGGCCGCCCGUCCCUCGCGAUUUUCCUGCAGCAUCUUGAAGACUUCCGAGUCCUCGUCCAGGAGGAGGCUUCCCCCUUCCGAGUCCAUGCUGCAGGGUGGGAGGCAGCCAGGAAUGAGGGUCCCGUGCCGGAGCUUAGGCAAGCAAGGGGGUGGGGGGCAGGAGAAGAGCGUGGGGGAGGGGGAGGAAUCUGGGAGGUGGAGGAGCCAACUGGGCUUGGGGGACCCCAUCCCUCUCGGGGAAGCCCGUCUCCCUCCUGCCCCUCCCAGCCUUCCAAGACCCCAACCCGACCCUCCGGGGCCUGCUGGUACCUGGGCCUGGAGGAACGAGGGCCCGGGGAAGGCGGCAGCACCAGCACCGCCGAGUCGCCAGCGCGGCCGAGGCCGGCCUGUUGGGAGGAGGCAGCCGGGGAGGAGUCAGGGCCAGAGCCUUGGGCCAACACACCCAGGAGGGCCUAGCCCGGCUGUUCCCAGGCCCGACACCAGGGGGCCCCCGGCCCUCGCCGACCAGCGGACCCCUGCCCCUUCCCUUGGAGCCAGGGCGCAGAGACUGCCAGGGUCCAGAGAGGGAGGGAGGCAUGCGGGUUCUGCCGGGGACCGGGCAGCAGGAAGGCAGCAGGUGACAGCUAAGCACAGAGUCCUCUGUCACGCACGCUAUUAUCUGUGUGCAAAGACAUUGCACACUGGGGCCUGGCUCCGAUCCCACGGAACCAGCAGAGAGGAAGCACGCUGCCCUUUUGCACUGAGGAGAU
rnacentral:lncRNA from 1 species